UACGUAGGUGGCAAGCGUUGUCCGGAUUUACUGGGCGGAAAGAGCGCGCAGGCGGUCGUGCAAGUCGCGUGUGAAAGCCCCCGGCUCAACUGGGGAGGGUCACGCGAUACUGCUCGACUCGAAGGCAGGAGAGGGAAGUGGAAUUCCCGGUGUAGUGGUGAAAUGCGUAGAUAUCGGGAGGAACACCAGUGGCGAAGGCGACUUCCUGGCCUGUUCUUGACGCUGAGGCGCGAAAGCUAGGGUAGCAAACGGG
rnacentral:rRNA from 1 species